UUUGACAAAAUCAUAAUUUAUCUUUAUUCAUUAAAUUGGGUAAUUAAAAUUGUUGUUAUUUUUUAUAUCUACUACUUGCAUAGUAAUAUAAUAAUAACAUGCUUUUGACUAUAUUAAAAGAAAUUGAAAUGUCGCAAAAGCAUGAAUGAAAGUGUGUGAAAUUUCAUAAUAGGGGAAACAUUAUGACAUGCAAAUCAAAUAUUAGUAGCUUAUUAAAAGUAACAUAGAAUUAUUUGUCACUUAAUAGCAAUAACAUUGUUUCCAAAGACAAGCUGGUCUUUUAUUAUCAGGACAUUUGCACUCCUCCUUUGUUGCGCAGGAACCUGUAUUUCAAAUAAGAAUAAAUGAAUGUUACGAGAAGAGGGUGAAAGAUUUUAUAUAUGAUAAAUAAGAAACAUUUAAAUUAAAACAAGUUGCUUGGGCUUCCGUGGUAAGGAGCUCAUUCUAAGGACGUAUCCGGGGAAUACCGAGUUCGAUUCCUAGGGGAACAACGCUUGGCCAUUGUGCAUGCCUCUACGCACGAGCCGGAUUAGUCGUCCACCAUUGGUGGGUCGGAAACUGGUGCGAAAGGAAAAAAAAACAUUUAAAUGGGUGUGAAAAUGGACUUACUAUAUUGGCUAGUUACAACCAGAAUAAGGGAUAGUAAGAUGAUGAAAAAAUAAACAAUUUUUAGAAUUUCAGCCAUAUUAUUUGUCCUUAAU
rnacentral:lncRNA from 1 species